rnacentral:tRNA from 1 species
CGGGCAAUAGCUCAAUGGUAGAGCUCCCGCUUCGUAUGCGACGAGACCUGGGUUCGAUUCCCGGCUGCUUAC